AGGGGGUUUCAGCUUCAUAACUGGCCAUGCAGGUCAUUAUUGCAAUUCACAGAGUCCACAGCUGUUGAUGACUUCACAAAGGACUCUCCAGUUCCACCCAAGCCAGCCGACAAGGAGGAAGCUUCCUGGUCAGUACCUUCUUGGUUCCCCAUGUCCCGUGACUAAUAUGUCUGGUGUCUUCACCAAUAGCAUUUAGUGAGUGUGCUGGUAGGCAUCUGAGAGCAAUGGCAGUACCCUAGAAUGUCCUGGGGAUCUCAGAAUCACCAGAGUUUAAUGGAAUUGCCCUACUCAGGGGAUUAGGCUCUUCAAGAAGCCAUAAAUUGUCAAAUAAGAAAUCCCAGUGCCAGCAAUAGGGUCUUACCGCCGGGUUGUGGAGAAGAACCAAUACACAAUGUCAUGGGCAUAACUUUUAAAAACAUUGGCAGAAAGAUCCACUCCAUUAGAUGGUACUCAUUUCUAAUUCUACUAACAUGGUCAUGAACCUGGGUCUAGCCUGAAGAGCUCACUUUACACCAAAGGGACCAAAGAAAAGGGAGAUCUUCAUCCCUCUGCUCAUCUGACUGGGUCUCACCAUCUCUCUGGAUGUGAUGGGAGCUGCUAGAGGCAGUCUAAACACACCAUGUAACCUUUGACUUCCAGGAUAAGCUUGACCAGGGUAUAGAUUCCACCAUGGACAGUCUGUGUCCCUCCUGGGACAGAUCAUCUCUCUAGCAGAAGUUGUUUUAUAAAACCAGAGAAUUCUGGCCUUAAUGACUGCUGAACAGGGAGUGACUUGCAUGGUGUUGUGGGAGGAACGCUGUUUCUUUGUUAAUGAAUCUGUGCUGGUAGAAGAAAACAUACAAAUGCCCAAAGAUCUCCUGCAAGAUCUUCAGAGCAUGCUAUGUGCCCAACACCCCGACUCCAUGGUACUUAAACACUCUGAUAGCUUUUCCCCUCCUUAUUUCUGUAUUAGCAAUUAGGGCUCUAUUCCUCCUGGCAUCCUGCUUCAUCCAAUUUCUAAAAUGGCAGAUAAGUAGCAUUGCAAAAAUCACUCGCAAUCACUUCCUGAUUCAAUACCAAACCCUUCCCAACAUAGAGGCUGAUGACUAUGAUGACACCUCCUCCCUUAUUCAACAAAAAAAGGGGAGAUGUGGGGCCAGAAAGCUGUGCAACUAUGGGAGGUAGUUUACAGCAAUAGUCAGGUUGAGAUGUGUCCAGACCCUACAAGUUUCAUCCUGAGAUGGACAGGGCUGCUUCCUCCUUACUCUGCACCAGAAGCUGACCUGGUCCCACACUUUUCUGUACCCAAAUCCUGUGGAAGAUAGAGCUAGACUCUCAGAAAUGUGGACAAUCCUGAGAGCUCUGGGAAGACCACUACUUCUGCUCACAUUCCUGGCCCCAAGAACAACUUGUCUAGAGUCCUCUGGACACAGGAGCCUAGGAGUAGUCAGGGAGAGAAUACUUCCCUUCUCUGCCUGUGCCCAGAGCAGAAAGCCAGUCACCAGGAGUACUGACACACUUGAGAGCCGAGGUAAGACCAACACUUCUACUCCGAGGGACCUGCCUGGAGCCCUCAGAACACACAAACCCAGGAGCAGUCUGGGACAGGACCCUUCCAGUUUCUGCCUUCGUCCAGAGCUGACCUGGUCCCACAGUUCUUUGUACACAGAUCCCACUGGGAGAAAACCAGUCUCCAAGAGUGCUACUCACAGGAUUACAGGAGGGUCAGGCCACUGUCAGAGACAGCAAGACCAGC
ensembl:lncRNA